AGAGUUUGAUCAUGGCUCAGAUUGAACGCUGGCGGCAGGCCUAACACAUGCAAGUCGAGCGGCAGCACAGGGGAACUUGUUCCCUGGGUGGCGAGCGGCGGACGGGUGAGUAAUGGCUGGGAACCUGCCCUGAUGUGGGGGAUAACAGUUGGAAACGACUGCUAAUACCGCAUGAUGUCUACGGACCAAAGAGGAGGACCUUCGGGCUUCUCGCGUCAGGAUGGGCCCAGUUGGGAUUAGCUAGUUGGUAGGGUAAUGGCCUACCAAGGCGACGAUCCCUAGCUGGUUUGAGAGGAUGAUCAGCCACACUGGAACUGAGACACGGUCCAGACUCCUACGGGAGGCAGCAGUGGGGAAUAUUGCACAAUGGGCGCAAGCCUGAUGCAGCCAUGCCGCGUGUGUGAAGAAGGCCUUCGGGUUGUAAAGCACUUUCAGCAGUGAGGAAGGUGGUGUAGUUAAUACCUGCAUCAUUUGACGUUAGCUGCAGAAGAAGCACCGGCUAACUCCGUGCCAGCAGCCGCGGUAAUACGGAGGGUGCGAGCGUUAAUCGGAAUUACUGGGCGUAAAGCGCAUGCAGGCGGUCUGUUAAGCAAGAUGUGAAAGCCCCGGGCUUAACCUGGGAACCGCAUUUUGAACUGGCAGGCUAGAGUCUUGUAGAGGGGGGUAGAAUUUCAGGUGUAGCGGUGAAAUGCGU
rnacentral:rRNA from 1 species